rnacentral:rRNA from 1 species
GAUGAACGCUGGCGGCGUGCCUAAUACAUGCAAGUCGAGCGAACGGACGAGAAGCUUGCUUCUCUGAUGUUAGCGGCGGACAGGUGAGUAACACGUGGAUAACCUACCUAUAAGACUGGGAUAACUUCGGGAAACCGGAGCUAAUACCGGAUAAUAUUUUGAACCGCAUGGUUCAAAAGUGAAAGACGGUCUUGCUGUCACUUAUAGAUGGAUCCGCGCUGCAUUAGCUAGUUGGUAAGGUAACGGCUUACCAAGGCAACGAUGCAUAGCCGACCUGAGAGGGUGAUCGGCCACACUGGAACUGAGAUACGGUCCAGACUCCUACGGGAGGCAGCAGUAGGGAAUCUUCCGCAAUGGGCGAAAGCCUGACGGAGCAACGCCGCGUGAGUGAUGAAGGUCUUCGGAUCGUAAAACUCUGUUAUUAGGGAAGAACAUAUGUGUAAGUAACUGUGCACAUCUUGACGGUACCUAAUCAGAAAGCCACGGCUAACUACGUGCCAGCAGCCGCGGUAAUACGUAGGUGGCAAGCGUUAUCCGGAAUUAUUGGGCGUAAAGCGCGCGUAGGCGGUUUUUUAAGUCUGAUGUGAAAGCCCACGGCUCAACCGUGGAGGGUCAUUGGAAACUGGAAAACUUGAGUGCAGAAGAGGAAAGUGGAAUUCCAUGUGUAGCGGUGAAAUGCGCAGAGAUAUGGAGGAACACCAGUGGCGAAGGCGACUUUCUGGUCUGUAACUGACGCUGAUGUGCGAAAGCGUGGGGAUCAAACAGGAUUAGAUACCCUGGUAGUCCACGCCGUAAACGAUGAGUGCUAAGUGUUAGGGGGUUUCCGCCCCUUAGUGCUGCAGCUAACGCAUUAAGCACUCCGCCUGGGGAGUACGACCGCAAGGUUGAAACUCAAAGGAAUUGACGGGGACCCGCACAAGCGGUGGAGCAUGUGGUUUAAUUCGAAGCAACGCGAAGAACCUUACCAAAUCUUGACAUCCUUUGACAACUCUAGAGAUAGAGCCUUCCCCUUCGGGGGACAAAGUGACAGGUGGUGCAUGGUUGUCGUCAGCUCGUGUCGUGAGAUGUUGGGUUAAGUCCCGCAACGAGCGCAACCCUUAAGCUUAGUUGCCAUCAUUAAGUUGGGCACUCUAAGUUGACUGCCGGUGACAAACCGGAGGAAGGUGGGGAUGACGUCAAAUCAUCAUGCCCCUUAUGAUUUGGGCUACACACGUGCUACAAUGGACAAUACAAAGGGCAGCGAAACCGCGAGGUCAAGCAAAUCCCAUAAAGUUGUUCUCAGUUCGGAUUGUAGUCUGCAACUCGACUACAUGAAGCUGGAAUCGCUAGUAAUCGUAGAUCAGCAUGCUACGGUGAAUACGUUCCCGGGUCU